GGCACAGGCUCGCCCGCCGCCGGCGAGAUGGCCAUCUAAUACCCGCGGCAGCCGCCGCCGCAACUUUUCCGCUCCGCUCCUGCCCCUGCCGCGCCGGUGGAAGAUGGCAGUUGGGGGAAGGACUGGAAGUUGCAGCCCGCGAGCGAAGAGAUAAGGCGGAGGCGCGGGAAGAUUCACCCCACUUCUGGAAGAAAUCUGAAGAACCUGCCACGGUUUACACUGUCAACAAGUUACCAUUCCAUCAAGAGCAAUGAGCUCCACAACACCAGUGGAUGUGAAGUCAGAGGUUCCCGUGGGAUUAGAGCCUAUCUCACCAUUAGACUUGCGAACUGAUCUCAGGAUGAUGGUUCCCAUGGUGGACCCAAUUAUGCGUGAAAAGCAGCUACAGCAGGAACUACUUCUGAUCCAGCAGCAGCAGCAAAUUCAGAAACAACUGCUGAUUGCAGAGUUUCAGAAGCAGCAUGAAAACCUGACCCGCCAGCAUCAGGCCCAGCUCCAGGAGCACAUUAAGUUACAACAGGAACUCCUAGCCAUUAAACAACAGCAAGAACUCAUUGAAAAAGAGCAGAAACUGGAGCAGCAGAGACAAGAGCAGGAGCUGGAGAGGCAUCGCAGGGAACAACAGCUUCCUCCCCUCCGAGGCAAAGAAAGAGGCCGAGAAAGGGCAGUGGCCAGUACAGAAGUGAAGCAGAAACUUCAAGAGUUCCUGUUGAGUAAAUCGGCAACAAAAGACUCUCCAGCAAAUGGGAAGAAUCAUUCCAUGAGCCGCCACCCCAAGCUCUGGUACACGGCUGCCCACCAUACCUCACUGGAUCAAAGCUCUCCACCCCUGAGCGGGGCCUCGCCACCGUACAAAUACACUUUACCAGGAGCACAGGAUGCCAAGGAUGAUUUUCCACUUCGUAAAACGGCUUCAGAGCCCAAUUUGAAGAUACGUUCAAGGUUAAAACAAAAGGUGACAGAAAGAAGAAGCAGUCCUUUACUCAGGAGGAAGGAUGGAAAUGUCAGUUCAUUCAAGAAACGACUCUUUGAGGUGACAGAAUCCUCAGUCAGUAGCAGCUCCCCUGGAUCAGGUCCCAGUUCCCCAAGCAAUGGUCCGACCAGCAGUAUAGCAGAAAAUGAAAACUCAGUUUUGCCAUCUAACAUUCAAGCUGAGCAUCUGGUUUCACAGCAACGGCUUUUGAUACAGGAUGAAUCGGUGAACUUGCUGAGUUUGUACACAUCCCCUUCUCUGCCCAACAUUACCUUGGGACUUCCAGCAGUGCAACCUCAAAUCAGUGCUUCAUCAUCAUUCAAAGAAAAGCAGAAGGGGGAGACCCAGUCGCUCAGACAAGGACUGGCCUUGGCUGGACAGUAUGGGGGGAACAUGCCUCCAUCCUCAACUCAUCCUCACGUUGCUUUGGAGGGAAAGCCAAAUAGCAGCCACCAGGCUCUCUUGCAGCAUCUGUUACUGAAAGAACAAAUGAGACAGCAAAAACUUCUUGUGACUGGAGCGGUUCCUCUUCAUCCACAGUCUCCUUUAGCAGCAAAGGAGAGAGUCUCGCCUGGCAUACGAGCUGCCCACAAACUGCCUCGUCACAGGCCACUGAAUCGAACCCAGUCAGCCCCUCUUCCUCAGAGUACUUUGGCCCAGCUAGUUAUCCAGCAGCAACAUCAACAAUUUUUGGAGAAGCAGAAACAGUACCAGCAGCAGAUCCACAUGAAUAAGAUGCUCUCUAAGUCCAUUGAGCAGCUCAAGCAGCCUGGCAGUCACCUGGAGGAGGCUGAAGAAGAGCUUCAUGGAGAUCACUCGAUGCAGGAAGAGCAAGCUCCCACCGGCGGUGCCAGCAUUAGGGUUGAGAGCAGCAGUGCUGGUGUGGAUGACAGAAUAGGACAGCAGGUGGGGGCUGUGAAAGUCAAAGAGGAGCCACCGGACAGUGAUGAGGAUGUUCAGACCCAGCAAAUGGAAUCUGGGGAGCAAGCUCCUUUUAUGCAACAGGUAAUAGGCAAAGAUUUAGCUCCAGGAUUUGUAAUUAAGGUUAUUAUCUGAGCAUCAAAUGCAUUUUCUAGGCUUUGGUAAGCAGUUGUGUUUUGAUUCACUGAUCUAGCAAAUCCUGAUUUACUGUUCAAAGAAUCUAACAAAGGCAGAAGUUCUGUAUGCACACUUGAAAACAUAGUGAAGCUCAUCCUUAUGGCCACUAAUUGAGAAAAUACCUGUUGCAGUCACUUAUUCUAUAUAAAUCUUUGCAUAAUAGCUGAUAGACUUUGUAUUAGCCCAGACUUCGUAUUAUGUUACAUCGCUUAGUUCUAGUGAAAGAGAACUCAUAUCACCUAGCUUGUUGAGAUCAGCAAUUGCUGGAAUUAGUUUCCAGUCCUGAUUGAUGAAACAUUCUCCUUCUCUGAUUUUGAAUCCUCUGACUUUUGCUUUCAGCUGUCUGUAUAUACUGUAUCAUACUGUAGUCUUGAACACUGUUGAUAACCUUAGGGUAUUUUUUCCCCAGUAGACAGGUACUGACUGCUAUAUCAGUGGUCCCAGGCUGAUGUAUAAAGUUUAAUUUAGAGAAGAGGUGGAUGCAAUUUACAGGGUGGAUGUAAAGAGGCAAGGCAAGGCACUGUUCAAAAUUGCAUUGUUUUUUUUGCACUGCUUAGUUAAUUUUUCAUUCUGUCUUAUUUGAUGAUGCAGUCCACAGAGACAUCCUUAAAUGCAGCAGAUGCAAGUACUGGCGAAAAGCAAAAGGCAGCAUUAGGUUGCAAUUAGUUGCUAGGAUAUUGCAGGAAGAGCACAGAACUGUUAUCAUUAUCAACUGAUACCCGAUCACUUGUUUGUAAUUUUAAAUAAAGACUAAUCAUACAAUAUGGCA
rnacentral:lncRNA from 1 species